rnacentral:rRNA from 1 species
GAUGAACGCUGGCGGCGUGCCUAAUACAUGCAAGUCGAGCGAACAGACGAGGAGCUUGCUCCUCUGACGUUAGCGGCGGACGGGUGAGUAACACGUGGAUAACCUACCUAUAAGACUGGGAUAACUUCGGGAAACCGGAGCUAAUACCGGAUAAUAUAUUGAACCGCAUGGUUCAAUAGUGAAAGACGGUUUUGCUGUCACUUAUAGAUGGAUCCGCGCCGCAUUAGCUAGUUGGUAAGGUAACGGCUUACCAAGGCAACGAUGCGUAGCCGACCUGAGAGGGUGAUCGGCCACACUGGAACUGAGACCCGGUCCCGACUCCUACGGGAGGCAGCAGUAGGGAAUCUUCCGCAAUGGGCGGAAGCCUGACGGAGCAACGCCGCGUGAGUUAUGAAGGUCUUCGGAUCGUAAAACUCUGUUAUUAGGGAAGAACAAAUGUGUAAGUAACUAUGCACGUCUUGACGGUACCUAAUCAGAAAGCCACGGCUAACUACGUG